rnacentral:snRNA from 1 species
GAUCUGCCCACCUUGGUCCCAAUCUUCACCACCUGAUUGAUUACCAGGAUUGAUUCAGCUCAUCUGGCUGGCUAGACAAUGUCCCCUUCUACCCUCACCACUUCAUGUGCAUCUUCUUGAAGCUGCACACUCAGAGGAGGAGUACAACCAACUCAGACAGAAGAAGCGUAUAGAUCUUCAGUCAAGGUUAUAUGAUAAUCACAUUCCCCUGUGUGACCCUUCAAACAGGCUUCAUCUUCCUUUGCCACUCAACUCUAUUAAUUGUUCUUCUAUGAGAAAGCCUUUCUAU